ensembl:lncRNA
AUUCACUGCAUCUAUGCUGUGAGCAGCAUGCAGUCCUGGUGCCUACAGAGGCCAGAGGAGGUCAUUGGAUCCCUAGGACUAGAGUCAGAGAUGGGUAUAAGACACCACAUGGUCUUCUGGGAAUGAAACCUGGGUCCUCUGUAAGAGGAACAAGUGCUCUAAGCUGCUGGGCCUUCUUUCUAGUCCCUUAAUACUUUUUAUUUAUUUAUUUAUUUUUUUGGUUCUUUUUUUCGGAGCUGGGGACCGAACCCAGGGCCUUGCGCUUCCUAGGUAAGCGCUCUACCACUGAGCUAAAUCCCCAGCCCCUUAUUUUUUAUUUUUUAAAAGGAAACGAGUAUCGUAUUCUUCAAGAUUAACACGGGGCUGCCUUCAUAUGCUGGGACUACUCUGGGAUCAUGUUCACGGUUUCUGAUGACAAAGGGUUAAUCUCAUAUCUCACAGCCUUCCUAACAUUCUCUGCAGAUGGACAUGGGGUAUAAGUUACCUCGUGCGUUGAUAUUUUUCUAAAACGCUGUGAUAUAAAGAUGAGUCCUGGGUUUGCCAUCAUCCUCACAAGCUCUUACUUCCUGUUUCUGACAGGGGCAGACUCCACGGUGAAACCUGCUCACCAUUGGUGCUGCGAGUUCCCUAAGACUGCUGGAACAGAUAAGGAUGAAGUAACCCUCUGAAACUGUAAGCGAGCCCCCAACAAGAUUCUUUGGUCAUCAUGGCGUCUCUUUAUGGCAACUGAACCCUGACUAAGACAACCCGGCAAAGGUGUGGAGGCGGGGGAUCCCAGUGGUUUGCUGGCCAGCCGGUGCUUCGAGCUAAGGGAGCGACACUGUCUCAACAAAAGCAAAGUGCAUCAUGGGUAAAACUGGCUCAGAGGGGCAAGAUCUUGCUGCCUUGCCCGAGAACACCUGGUCAGCAAAGGGGAAACUGACUUCUCAAAGUUGUCCUGAUUAUCGCACUAGAGCUCGGGCAUGACCCUAGCCAGCAAAGGCGCCACGCAUUUUUAACAUAAAACUAAUGUGAUGGUGAGUGACGGAAGUCACUGAAUGUUGGCAAAGUCGUACAGGCCCGUAUAACUUUUCAAGUAUUCAGGGGGUUUCGUUAAGAGGGUUGUGACUUCCCCGAUGGCCUGGGCUAUAUAGCAAAUCUUCUCAAAACAAAACGGGGUGGGGGGGACCCAAAACCUACUGUGAG